UAACCUGCCCAAGAGAUCGGGAUAACACCUGGAAACAGAUGCUAGUACCGGAUAACAACAGAUGAUGCCUAUCAACUGUUUAAAAGAUGGUUCUGCUAUCACUCUUGGAUGGACCUGCGGUGCAUUAGCUAGUUGGUAGGGUAACGGCCUACCAAGGCGAUGAUGCAUAGCCGAGUUGAGAGACUGAUCGGCCACAUUGGGACUGAGACACGGCCCAAACUCCUACGGGAGGCAGCAGGC
rnacentral:rRNA from 1 species